GCAAGUCGAGCGGUAGAAAGUAUUAGCUUGCUAAAUUCUUUGAGAGCGGCGAACGGGUGAGUAACACGUUGGUAUCUGCCCCCAAGUCAGGGAUAGCCAUUGGAAACGAUGAUUAAUACCGGAUAGUCUCUUCGGAGUAAAGAUUUAUUGCUUGGGGAGGAGCCUGCGUUCUAUCAGCUAGUUGGUGAGGUAAAAGCUCACCAAGGCUAUGACGGAUACCUGGUCUGAGAGGAUGAUC
rnacentral:rRNA from 1 species